rnacentral:rRNA from 1 species
UACGUAGGGACCGAGCGUUUGUCCGGAAUCAUUGGGCGUAAAGAGCGUGUAGGCGGCCUGUUAAGUCUUGCGUGAAAUCUCGGGGCUCAACCCCGAGCGGUCGUGAGAAACUGGCAGGCUAGAGUGCGGGGAGAGGAGAGUGGAAUUCCUGGUGUAGCGGUGAAAUGCGCAGAUAUCAGGAAGAACACCCGUGGCGAAGGCGCUCUCUGGAACGCAACUGACGCU